AAAAAAUGGAUAACAAAGGGUUUUGAACUCGGCAGUCAUGUUGUGUGAUUUUUCUUUCUCUUUUUCUCGUGCAUCACGUAUACUCUGGGGGUUAAUUUCACUCUUUUGACUCUUUUUCUACUCAAAUUUUUCGAGCAUUUUAUAGGUGUUAGAGUCUUAAAUCUCGGCAAAUGCAUUUUUUUCUCUUUUGUUUUUCUUUUUUUUUCUUUUUUUUCUUUUUGGAC
rnacentral:lncRNA from 1 species